rnacentral:tRNA from 1 species
GCCAUACCAAACAAAUCUGCUGGUUAAAGUACCUGUCUAGUAAACAGGAGGUCAUGGGUUCAACUCCCAUCAGUGCU